rnacentral:lncRNA from 1 species
GAGGUGCCUGCUGGCAUCCUCUCCCCCAUGCUUACUAAUACAUUCCCUUCCCCAUAGCCAUCAAAACUGGACCAACUGGCCUCUUCCUUUCCCCUGGGACCAAAAUUUAGGGGCCUCAGUCCCUCACCGCCAUGCCCUGGCCUAUUCUGUCUCUCCUUCUUCCCCCUGGCCUGUUCUGUCUCUGAGCUCUGUGUCCUCCGUUCAUUCCAUGGCUGGGAGUCACUGAUGCUGCCUCUGCCUUCUGAUGCUGGACUGGC